AUUGAACGCUGGCGGCAGGCCUAACACAUGCAAGUCGAGCGGAUGAAGGGAGCUUGCUCCUGGAUUCAGCGGCGGACGGGUGAGUAAUGCCUAGGAAUCUGCCUGGUAGUGGGGGAUAACGUCCGGAAACGGGCGCUAAUACCGCAUACGUCCUGAGGGAGAAAGUGGGGGAUCUUCGGACCUCACGCUAUCAGAUGAGCCUAGGUCGGAUUAGCUGGUUGGUGGGGUAAAGGCCUACCAAGGCGACGAUCCGUAACUGGUCUGAGAGGAUGAUCAGUCACACUGGAACUGAGACACGGUCCAGACUCCUACGGGAGGCAGCAGUGGGGAAUAUUGGACAAUGGGCGAAAGCCUGAUCCAGCCAUGCCGCGUGUGUGAAGAAGGUCUUCGGAUUGUAAAGCACUUUAAGUUGGGAGGAAGAGCAGUAAGUUAAUACCUUGCUGUUUUGACGUUACCAACAGAAUAAGCACCGGCUAACUUCGUG
rnacentral:rRNA from 1 species